CAACAUGUGGCCAACCACCAACAGAAAAACAAGACCAUCCAGGAGCAGCUAGGAUCGGAGCAGCCAAACAAUAAGACCACCAGCUGUCCUCUGCUUCGUCACAGUGGCAUUCCAUGUCUGUCUUGCAGGACUGCCCGCUCUCAUCAUGUACAUACCUGACACCACAACACAUCCAGAAAACUGGAUAAAACAGAAAAAGGAAGUAAAACCUACUCUAGAUGCUGUAAAAUGCAAAUCUGGGGUCACUAGCUUGGGGCUGGAGCCUGGGAGUCUUCAUUUUCAACAGAUAUCCUGGACACUCAGCAUCUACAGAGGAUCUGGGCCGCCUCCUAUGCUUUGCUGAUUGUGUGGACCUCUGGGGCUCUUGUCCUCUGCAAAGAGACCUGGCCACAGCAACACCCUAGGUUUGCAGUGAGG
rnacentral:lncRNA from 1 species